CCUACGGGUGGCAGCAGUGGGGAAUAUUGCACAAUGGGGGAAACCCUGAUGCAGCGACGCCGCGUGAGUGAAGAAGUAUUUCGGUAUGUAAAGCUCUAUCAGCAGGGAAGAAGCAAGCCGGUACCUGACUAAGAAGCCCCGGCUAACUACGUGCCAGCAGCCCCGGUAAUACGUAGGGGGCAAGCGUUAUCCGGAUUUACUGGGUGGAAAGGGAGCGUAGACGGUAUGGCAAGUCUGAAGUGAAAGCCCAGGGCUUAACCCUGGGACUGCUUUGGAAACUGUUAGACUAGAGUGAUGGAGAGGUAAGUGGAAUUCCUAGUGUAGCGGUGAAAUGCGUAGAUAUUAGGAGGAACACCAGUGGCGAAGGCGGCUUACUGGACAGUAACUGACGUUGAGGCUCGAAAGCGUGGGGAGCAAACAGGAUUAGAUACCCGGGUAGUC
rnacentral:rRNA from 1 species